rnacentral:rRNA from 1 species
GGGUUGUGAGGUUAAGCGACUAAGCGUACACGGUGGAUGCCCUGGCAGUCAGAGGCGAUGAAGGACGUGCUAAUCUGCGAUAAGCGUCGGUAAGGUGAUAUGAACCGUUAUAACCGGCGAUUUCCGAAUGGGGAAACCCAGUGUGUUUCGACACACUAUCAUUAACUGAAUCCAUAGGUUAAUGAGGCGAACCGGGGGAACUGAAACAUCUAAGUACCCCGAGGAAAAGAAAUCAACCGAGAUUCCCCCAGUAGCGGCGAGCGAACGGGGAGCAGCCCAGAGCCUGAAUCAGUGUGUGUGUUAGUGGAAGCGUCUGGAAAGGCGCGCGAUACAGGGUGACAGCCCCGUACACAAAAAUGCACAUGCUGUGAGCUCGAUGAGUAGGGCGGGACACGUGGUAUCCUGUCUGAAUAUGGGGGGACCAUCCUCCAAGGCUAAAUACUCCUGACUGACCGAUAGUGAACCAGUACCGUGAGGGAAAGGCGAAAAGAACCCCGGCGAGGGGAGUGAAAAAGAACCUGAAACCGUGUACGUACAAGCAGUGGGAGCACGCUUAGGCGUGUGACUGCGUACCUUUUGUAUAAUGGGUCAGCGACUUAUAUUCUGUAGCAAGGUUAACCGAAUAGGGGAGCCGAAGGGAAACCGAGUCUUAACUGGGCGUUAAGUUGCAGGGUAUAGACCCGAAACCCGGUGAUCUAGCCAUGGGCAGGUUGAAGGUUGGGUAACACUAACUGGAGGACCGAACCGACUAAUGUUGAAAAAUUAGCGGAUGACUUGUGGCUGGGGGUGAAAGGCCAAUCAAACCGGGAGAUAGCUGGUUCUCCCCGAAAGCUAUUUAGGUAGCGCCUCGUGAAUUCAUCUCCGGGGGUAGAGCACUGUUUCGGCAAGGGGGUCAUCCCGACUUACCAACCCGAUGCAAACUGCGAAUACCGGAGAAUGUUAUCACGGGAGACACACGGCGGGUGCUAACGUCCGUCGUGAAGAGGGAAACAACCCAGACCGCCAGCUAAGGUCCCAAAGUCAUGGUUAAGUGGGAAACGAUGUGGGAAGGCCCAGACAGCCAGGAUGUUGGCUUAGAAGCAGCCAUCAUUUAAAGAAAGCGUAAUAGCUCACUGGUCGAGUCGGCCUGCGCGGAAGAUGUAACGGGGCUAAACCAUGCACCGAAGCUGCGGCAGCGACGCUUAUGCGUUGUUGGGUAGGGGAGCGUUCUGUAAGCCUGCGAAGGUGUGCUGUGAGGCAUGCUGGAGGUAUCAGAAGUGCGAAUGCUGACAUAAGUAACGAUAAAGCGGGUGAAAAGCCCGCUCGCCGGAAGACCAAGGGUUCCUGUCCAACGUUAAUCGGGGCAGGGUGAGUCGACCCCUAAGGCGAGGCCGAAAGGCGUAGUCGAUGGGAAACAGGUUAAUAUUCCUGUACUUGGUGUUACUGCGAAGGGGGGACGGAGAAGGCUAUGUUGGCCGGGCGACGGUUGUCCCGGUUUAAGCGUGUAGGCUGGUUUUCCAGGCAAAUCCGGAAAAUCAAGGCUGAGGCGUGAUGACGAGGCACUACGGUGCUGAAGCAACAAAUGCCCUGCUUCCAGGAAAAGCCUCUAAGCAUCAGGUAACAUCAAAUCGUACCCCAAACCGACACAGGUGGUCAGGUAGAGAAUACCAAGGCGCUUGAGAGAACUCGGGUGAAGGAACUAGGCAAAAUGGUGCCGUAACUUCGGGAGAAGGCACGCUGAUAUGUAGGUGAAGNNNNNNNNNNNNNNNNNNNNNNNNNNNNNNNNNNNNNNNNNNNNNNNNNNNNNNNNNNNNNNNNNNNNNNNNNNNNNNNNNNNNNNNNNNNNNNNNGAUGGAGCUGAAAUCAGUCGAAGAUACCAGCUGGCUGCAACUGUUUAUUAAAAACACAGCACUGUGCAAACACGAAAGUGGACGUAUACGGUGUGACGCCUGCCCGGUGCCGGAAGGUUAAUUGAUGGGGUUAGCGCAAGCGAAGCUCUUGAUCGAAGCCCCGGUAAACGGCGGCCGUAACUAUAACGGUCCUAAGGUAGCGAAAUUCCUUGUCGGGUAAGUUCCGACCUGCACGAAUGGCGUAAUGAUGGCCAGGCUGUCUCCACCCGAGACUCAGUGAAAUUGAACUCGCUGUGAAGAUGCAGUGUACCCGCGGCAAGACGGAAAGACCCCGUGAACCUUUACUAUAGCUUGACACUGAACAUUGAGCCUUGAUGUGUAGGAUAGGUGGGAGGCUUUGAAGUGUGGACGCCAGUCUGCAUGGAGCCGACCUUGAAAUACCACCCUUUAAUGUUUGAUGUUCUAACGUUGACCCGUAAUCCGGGUUGCGGACAGUGUCUGGUGGGUAGUUUGACUGGGGCGGUCUCCUCCUAAAGAGUAACGGAGGAGCACGAAGGUUGGCUAAUCCUGGUCGGACAUCAGGAGGUUAGUGCAAUGGCAUAAGCCAGCUUGACUGCGAGCGUGACGGCGCGAGCAGGUGCGAAAGCAGGUCAUAGUGAUCCGGUGGUUCUGAAUGGAAGGGCCAUCGCUCAACGGAUAAAAGGUACUCCGGGGAUAACAGGCUGAUACCGCCCAAGAGUUCAUAUCGACGGCGGUGUUUGGCACCUCGAUGUCGGCUCAUCACAUCCUGGGGCUGAAGUAGGUCCCAAGGGUAUGGCUGUUCGCCAUUUAAAGUGGUACGCGAGCUGGGUUUAGAACGUCGUGAGACAGUUCGGUCCCUAUCUGCCGUGGGCGCUGGAGAACUGAGGGGGGCUGCUCCUAGUACGAGAGGACCGGAGUGGACGCAUCACUGGUGUUCGGGUUGUCAUGCCAAUGGCACUGCCCGGUAGCUAAAUGCGGAAGAGAUAAGUGCUGAAAGCAUCUAAGCACGAAACUUGCCCCGAGAUGAGUUCUCCCUGACCCUUUAAGGGUCCUGAAGGAACGUUGAAGACGACGACGUUGAUAGGCCGGGUGUGUAAGCGCAGCGAUGCGUUGAGCUAACCGGUACUAAUGAACCGUGAGGCUUAACCUUACAACGCCGAAGCUGUU